rnacentral:rRNA from 1 species
UACGUAGGGUGCAAGCGUUGUCCGGAAUUAUUGGGCGUAAAGAGCUCGUAGGCGGUUUGUCGCGUCUGCUGUGAAAACCGGAGGCUCAACCUCCGGCCUGCAGUGGGUACGGGCAGACUAGAGUGCGGUAGGGGAGAUUGGAAUUCCCGGUGUAGUGGUGGAAUGCGUAGAUAUCGGGAGGAACACCAGUGGCGAAGGCGGUUGCCUGGAGCUUUGCUGACGCUGAU